UACGGAGGGAGCUAGCGUUAUUCGGAAUUACUGGGCGUAAAGCGCACGUAGGCGGCUUUGUAAGUAAGAGGUGAAAGCCCGGGGCUCAACCCCGGAAUUGCCUUUUAGACUGCAUCGCUUGAAUCAUGGAGAGGUCAGUGGAAUUCCGAGUGUAGAGGUGAAAUUCGUAGAUAUUCGGAAGAACACCAGUGGCGAAGGCGGCUGACUGGACAUGUAUUGACGCUGAGGUGCGAAAGCGUGGGGAGCAAACAGG
rnacentral:rRNA from 1 species